CAGUCGCCGCGGGAAUACGAAGGGGGCUAGCGUUGCUCGGAAUGACUGGGCGUAAAGGGCGCGUAGGCGGCACAGACAAUCAGAAGUGAAAUUCCUGGGCUCAACCUGGGGACUGCUUUUGAUACGUCUGAGCUAGAGUGGAGAAGAGGGUUGUGGAAUUUCCAGUGUAGAGGUGAAAUUCGUAGAUAUUGGAAAGAACACCGGUGGCGAAGGCGGCAACCUGGUCUUUUACUGACGCUGAGGCGCGAAAGCGUGGGGAGCAAACAGGAUUAGAUACCCCAGUAGUCCCUGUCUCUUAUAC
rnacentral:rRNA from 1 species